rnacentral:rRNA from 1 species
AUUGAACGCUGGCGGCAUGCUUUACACAUGCAAGUCGAACGGCAGCGCGGGCUUCGGCCUGGCGGCGAGUGGCGAACGGGUGAGUAAUGCAUCGGAACGUGCCCAGUAGUGGGGGAUAGCCGGGCGAAAGCCGGAUUAAUACCGCAUACGACCUGAGGGUGAAAGCGGGGGACCGAAAGGCCUCGCGCUAUUGGAGCGGCCGAUGUCGGAUUAGCUAGUUGGUGGGGUAAAGGCUUACCAAGGCGACGAUCCGUAGCUGGUCUGAGAGGACGACCAGCCACACUGGGACUGAGACACGGCCCAGACUCCUACGGGAGGCAGCAGUGGGGAAUUUUGGACAAUGGGGGCAACCCUGAUCCAGCCAUGCCGCGUGCGGGAAGAAGGCCUUCGGGUUGUAAACCGCUUUUGUUCGGGAAGAAAUCCUCUGGGCUAAUACCCCGGGGGGAUGACGGUACCGGAAGAAUAAGCACCGGCUAACUACGUG